CUCUUCUGAGAUGGCGCACGGGUGCGUAACACGUAUGUAACCUACCUUGUUCAGGGGGAUAGCCUCUCGAAAGAGAGAUUAAGACCGCAUAACAUUAUGAUGUGGCAUCGCAUUAUAAUCAAAUAUUUAUAGGAACAAGAUGGGCAUGCGGAACAUUAGCUAGUUGGUAAGGUAACGGCUUACCAAGGCUACGAUGUUUAGGGGAUCUGAGAGGAUGACCCCCCACACUGGUACUGAGACACGGACCAGACUCCUACGGGAGGCAGCAGUAAGGAAUAUUGGUCAAUGGACGGAAGUCUGAACCAGCCAUGCCGCGUGCAGGAAGACGGCCCUAUGGGUUGUAAACUGCUUUUAUACCGGAAUAAACCUUGAUUCGUGAAUCAAGUUGAAUGUACGGUAAGAAUAAGGAUCGGCUAACUCCGUGCCAGCAGCCGCGGUAAUACGGAGGAUCCAAGCGUUAUCCGGAUUUAUUGGGUUUAAAGGGUGCGUAGGUGGUU
rnacentral:rRNA from 1 species